GUUAACACAAAGACCUUGACAGAAAUAGAUAUGGCUCAUAUAUUAAGAAACCACAGUUCAGUUUUCUCCGAAUCUUGAACCAGCGGCUGAAGACUGCGUACAUUGUUUCAGCAUCAACAAUGAUUCUGAAGUUGGCUGUUUUCGUCACGCUGGUAUGUGUCACCCUUGCAGCGCCAGUGACAGACAAAGUCACUGACAUACUGGCCUCUGGGAUUUCGAAGUUGGGUCCCUGUGUUUCUGCCGAUUGCCUUUUGGCUAUGGUCAGACCUGACGCAGAAGAGCUGCCCCAAACAGACCCGCAAAGGUUGGAUCCCUGCGCUCAUGGGGGUUGCAAGAAAAUAGUAGAUCCCUGUAGUGGCUGUGGUGAUCCUAACCCGCUGCAGUAUCUUCAUCAACUUCCAGACAUAGAUACCAUACUUGGCUGAAAUAUAACAUGCAUAUAAUGUGGGUACAUGUCUGAUAAUGUAUACCUUAUAGAUGUCAUAAAAACUGUUAUUCUUU